rnacentral:rRNA from 1 species
UACAGAGACUGCAAGCGUUAUUCGGAUUCACUGGGCGUAAAGGGUGCGCAGGCGGCCGUGUGUGUUGGGCGUGAAAGCCCGGGGCUUAACCCCGGAAUUGCACCCAAAACUACACGGCUAGAGCAUUGGAGAGGGUAGCGGAAUUCACGGUGUAGCAGUGAAAUGCGUAGAUAUCGUGAGGAACACCAGAGGCGAAGG